rnacentral:rRNA from 1 species
UGAACGCUGGCGGCGUGCCUAAUACAUGCACGUCGAGCGAACAGAUGAGGAGCUUGCUCCUCUGACGUUAGCGGCGGACGGGUGAGUAACACGUGGAUAACCUACCUAUAAGACUGGGAUAACUUCGGGAAACCGGAGCUAAUACCGGAUAAUAUAUUGAACCGCAUGGUUCAAUAGUGAAAGACGGUUUUGCUGUCACUUAUAGAUGGAUCCGCGCCGCAUUAGCUAGUUGGUAAGGUAACGGCUUACCAAGGCGACGAUGCGUAGCCGACCUGAGAGGGUGAUCGGCCACACUGGAACUGAGACACGGUCCAGACUCCUACGGGAGGCAGCAGUAGGGAAUCUUCCGCAAUGGGCGAAAGCUUGACGGAGCAACGCCGCGUGAGUGAUGAAGGUCUUCGGAUCGUAAAACUCUGUUAUUAGGGAAGAACAAAUGUGUAAGUAACUAUGCACGUCUUGACGGUACCUAAUCAGAAAGCCACGGCUAACUACGUG